rnacentral:rRNA from 1 species
GUAGUCCGCACCGUAAACGUUGUAUACUAGUUGUUGGCGGUUUCAACGCCGUCAGUGACGACGCUAACGCAUUAAGUAUACCGCCUGGGGGGUAUGCUCGCAAGGGUGAAACUCAAAGAAAUUGACGGGGGCCCGCACAAGCGGUGGAGCAUGUGGUUUAAUUCGACGAUACGCGAGAAACCUUACCUGGGUUUGACAUGGAUUUGACUGGGAUAGAGAUAUUCCUUCCCGCAAGGGCAGAUUCACAGGUGUUGCAUGGUCGUCGUCAGCUCGUGUUGUGAGAUGUUGGGUUAAGUCCCGCAACGAGCGCAACCCCUAUCUUCUGUUGCCAAUAUUAAGUUAGGCACUCUGAAGAAACCGCCGGUGACAAACCGGAGGAAGGUGGGGAUGACGUCAGAUCAGCAUGGCCCUUAUAUCCAGGGCUACACACGUGCUACAAUGGCCAGUACAGAGGGACGCAAAGCCGCGAGGUGGAGCAAAUCCCACAAAGCUGGUCUCAGUUCAGAUUGCAGUCUGCAACUCGACUGCAUGAAGUCGGAAUCGCUAGUAAUCGCAAAUCAGCAUGUUGCGGUGAAUACGUUCCCGGGCCUUGUACACACCGCCCGUCACACCACCCGAGUUGGAGGUACCCGAAGAGGCUGUUGCCAACCGCAAGGAGGCAGGUCGCUAAGGUAAAUUCGGCGAGGGGGGUG